rnacentral:rRNA from 1 species
UACGAGGGGGGCAAGCGUUGUUCGGAAUUACUGGGCGUAAAGCGCGCGCAGGCGGGUCCUGUAAGUCUGGGGUGAAAUCUCACCGCUCAACGGUGAGGCUGCUGGAUACUGCGGACCUGGAGACCGGUAGAGGCUGGUAGAAUUGCAGGUGUAGCGGUGGAAUGCGUAGAUAUCUGGAGGAAUACCGGUGGCGAAGGCGGCAUCCUGGACCGGCAUUGACGCUGAGGAGCGAAAGCCAGGGGAGCAAACAGG